rnacentral:rRNA from 1 species
GAGCAACCUGCCCAGAAGAGGGGGAUAGCCCGGGGAAACUCGGAUUAAUACCGCGUACGGUCCUGCAGGACAUCCUGCGGUGAUUAAAGGUGGCCUUUGUGCUGCCGCUUCUGGAUGGGCUCGCGGCCUAUCAGCUUGUUGGUGAGGUAACGGCUCACCAAGGCGACGACGGGUACCUGAUCUGAGAGGAUGAUCAGGCACACUGGAACUGAGACACGGUCCGG